AGAGAGAAGAAUUGGGUGGAGUCAGAGGGGACAUCACCCAUCUUUCAAGUCAGGUGAAGAGGCCCGGGCUGCAGAAAGAGGAGAGAGGCAAAGGCAGGAGCUUGCCACUCAAGUUCACAUUAACACUCUCCCUCCGGUUUGAAGACAUCUGAAAAGCAGCUGCCAUGUCUGAGACCCUGAAGCAGCUAAACUCUUGAGAAGCAACUUCAUUUUUAAUUCCCUAGGCCCCUUGCUGUCUUACCACCCCACUACCUUCUGAUCCUUCACAGAAAAUCCCGAGAUCCAGAGGCUGACUCCGCUG